rnacentral:lncRNA from 1 species
AGCUGUUGAGACUUCGAAGGAGACUUCAGAGAACCAAGACAGUGUAAAGGAAAACAGGAAAAAAGACUUGUUAGACAUUAUUAAGGGCACGAAAGUUGAAUCGAGCACAGUAAAUGUACAAACAACAAAGCCACCCAGCAGAAGUCCACUUAAAAGCUACAACUGGCAGGCCUCAAAAAGCUGCAGGACAUGCUCUAAAGAAGAGAAAUGAGCCCCUGAGUCCUGAGUUGGUGGCAGCUGCAUCUGCUGCCCUCUUUUGACAAACAAGCCAGAGCUGCUCAGGCAGCUCCAUAGCAUGAGGAAGAGUGGGGCACAGAGAGAUGGAGAGAGACCUAAAAUUAGGCAUGAUCCUGGCUCACUGCAACCUCUGCCUCCUGAGUUCAAGCGAUUCUCCUGCCUCAGCCUCCCGAGUAGCUGGGACUAUAGGUGCACGCCACAUUUGUUUGUAUUUUUAGAUGAGACAGAGUUGACUGGACUAGUCUCGAACUCCUGAUCUCGGGUGAUCUGCCUCGGCCUCCCAAAGUGUGGGAUUACAGGCAUGAGUCACUGCGCCCGGCCAGCUGUACUACUGUUUAUCCAUUCACCUGUUGAUAAACAUUUGGAUUGUUUCCAGUUUUCAACUGUUAACCAUUAAAACUGCUAUAAAUAGACAUUCCUGUACAAACAUUGCAUGAACAUGUUAUUUCAUAUCUCUUGGGUGCUAAUUGUGUAGCAGUGGUCUAAGUCAUUUUAUUGUUGUGCCUUUUUACAUUCCUACCAGUGGUGUAUGAGUCUUCCGGUUGCUCUACAUUCUUGCCGACAUACAUGGUCAGUCUUUCUUAUUUUAGCCAUUUAAAUGGGUGUGUAGUGGUAUAUGGUUGUGGUUUUAAUUUCUAUUUCCCUUUUGACUUACAGUUUCUAAGUUUUGAGAGAUCUUCAUAUAUUCUGGAUGCAGACUCUUCAUCAGAGAUGUGUUUGCAAAUAUUUUCCUAGUGUAGAAUCUCUUAAAUUUUGGUGAAGUCUAAUUUACAAAUUUCUUCUUUUAUGGAUCAUGCUUUUGGUGUGCUAAGAAAUCUUUGUCUAACCCAAGAUCACAAAGAUUUUCUUCUAGAAGUUUUAUAGGAGUUGUAGCCCCAUAAUCCAUUUUGAGUGAAUUGUUGUACAUGGUGCAAGAUAUACAUUGAAACUCACUUUUUGGCACAUGUAUAUCCAAUCUGUUGUAAAGUCUCUCCUUUUCAACUCUUUUUUUCUCCACUGAAUGACCUUUGGACCUGUGUUAAAAAUCAGUUGUCUACUUAUGGUUUGGGUCUGUUUAUGGAUUCUCUGUUGCAUUAAUCUGUCUAUCUUUGCGCCAAUACCACAAGGUUGACAAGUCUUGAAAUCAAGUAAUGUUAUCUCUCCAACUUUGUUAUUUUUCAAAGCUGAUUUAGCUAUUCUAAGUCCUUUGCAUUUUCAUUUGAAUUUUUUCCCCCAUUUGAAUUUUAGAAUCAGUUUGUCAACUUCUAAAAGGGAAA